GAUCAUGGCUCAGGAUGAACGCUAGCGACAGGCUUAACACAUGCAAGUCGAGGGGCAGCGAGGGCGUAGUAAUACGCCUGUCGGCGACCGGCGCACUGGUGAGUAACACGUAUGCGACCUGCCCCCUACAGGGGUAUAACCCGUAGAAAUGCGGACUAAUCCCCCAUAGUCCUGGGUGCUGCAUGGCAUUCAGGGGAAAGGCCAGCCGGUAGGGGAUGGGCAUGCGGCGCAUUAGCUAGUUGGCGGGGCAACGGCCCACCAAGGCGACGAUGCGUAGGGGUUCUGAGAGGAAGGUCCCCCACACUGGUACUGAGACACGGACCAGACUCCUACGGGAGGCAGCAGUGAGGAAUAUUGGUCAAUGGGCGCAGGCCUGAACCAGCCAAGUCGCGUGAGGGAUGACGGUCCUACGGAUUGUAAACCUCUUUUGUCGGGGAGUAACGUGCGGGACGCGUCCCGUAUUGAGAGUACCCGAAGAAAAAGCAUCGGCUAACUCCGUG
rnacentral:rRNA from 1 species